ensembl:lncRNA
UCGCUUUCUCUUUGCUCUUGUUUGAGGUUUUGAUCUAUAUGGAUUGUAAGACGGAUCUGUCUCUCUUUAUGCGAGCCGCCCACUCUUGCAGCAAGUGUCAUCUGUAUGUGUGGCAUAUUAAAGGCCUGUGGGAACUCAUUAGGGUGACAGACGCAGGGCUUACUCUCCCUCGCUUGGAUUGCCAUGUUUGUGCCAUGACGGGUUCAGAAAGUGCAGUGAGAGGGCAGAGGUGGCGUGCGGAGCUGAUUCUUCUGAGCCGAAUCUUACUAUAUAGCUUAAAACCUUUUUGAGUUAUUUCAAGCUGUAAUUUGGAAGUGACCAAAAAUGAUGACUUUUAUCUUGCCUAUAUCUCACCAUGAUUUAAGAGAAGAGUGUCUCCCUCUGAAACCCUUUCCACUGAUGUUGCUGUUUGGCAGUGUUACUUAUAUCUCAUAUUUCAUAAUAUUUUUUUCUGUUCUAUGCAUUAUUUCGAGAAGACUCUGCCUUCCUUGCCUCCUUGGAGGAAAUGUCUCUGGAGUGCAUGUGUGUUUUUUUGUGAGCGUUUGUGAGUGUGUGCUGUGUAUAAGGGACUUUCCUUUGUCUU